rnacentral:rRNA from 1 species
UGCCAGCCGCCGCGGUAAUACGGAGGGGGUUAGCGUUGUUCGGAAUUACUGGGCGUAAAGCGUGCGUAGGCGGAUCGACAAGUUGGGGGUGAAAUCCCGGGGCUUAACCCCGGAACUGCCCUCAAAACUGUCGAUCUAGAGACCGGGAGAGGUAAGCGGAAUUCCUAGUGUAGAGGUGAAAUUCGUAGAUAUUCGGUGGAACACCAGUGGCGAAGGCGACUGACUGGACUGGUACUGACGCUGAGGUGCGAAAGUGUGGGGAGCAAACAGGAUUAGAUA